GCCGGACUGGGAAAAAAAUUAGGCCCGGGCAUUUUUCAAUUAGAGCGGCCCCCUAAGAAGGGGGCGGGGCCAGAGAGGGUGUGUUUUGUCAUCACUAAUGACAAGCACGCCCCCUCUGAAAGUGAGCAUGUUGGUUCAAUGCCCAGAGCCCUGCUGAAGAGCUCUGGCAUUAGAAAAAGGCCCUGUAUUUGUUCUGCCCAGCGCAAGCAAAUGUAAUAACAUGCUUGCACUGUGUUUGCUUUUAAAUUGUCUCUGGUGUCUCCACAAGUGGGAUACCAGAGGACAAAAGGGCCAGGAAAGUGUAUGGUGCAUGUGUUUGGAGCCUGCUUGUGGGAUUGCCUGUGUGUAGAGUGUGGUGUGGUAUUGUGUAAAUAGGUCGAUUUUGUGGUGUAAUAUGUGUGGCUAGGGGCUGUAGAGAGUGCGUGUAUAGGGGCAUAGUGUUAUAGGGGAUGUAGCGAGUGUGUGCAUAUGGGCAGUAGUGUGUGUGUAUAGGUGACGUAGUGUGUGUAGGGGUUGUAGAGAGGGUGUGUUUAGAGAAUGUUGUAUGUGUUUGCUUACAAGGAAUGUAGUGUGUGUGUAGGUGGUGCACUGUGUGUGUGUAAGAGAUCUAGUGUGUAAAGGACCCAGAGUGUGUAUAGAAGAUUGUGUGUGUGUGUGUGUGUAGAGGAUUAAGAGUGCAUAUAGGGUAAGGGAUCUAGCGUGUAUCUGGAGCGUAAUGUGUGUAGUGGUGCAGUGUGAGGGGUGCUGUAGUGUGUGUGUAUAUAUAUAUAUUUGGACGUAUUGUAUGUGUGAGGUGCGCAGUGUGUUUGUGUAAGAGGGGUGCUGUGUGUUAGGGUGUUUUUAUCUGCCGUCACAUUCUAGGUUUCUAAUUUUCUUUGUCUGUUAACUCACUGAGGGUUAUUUUAUAUAAUAUAUAUGUGUCUCUGGGUGUGCUGUGUGUGUCUGGGGGUGCUGUGUGUGUGUCUGGGGGUGCUGUGUGUGUGUCUGAAGGUGCUGUGUGUGUAUCUGGGGUGCUGUGUGUGUGUGUGUCUGGGGGUGCUGUGUCUCUGGGGGUGCUGUGUGUCUGGGGUGCUGUGUGUGUUUGGG